CCUACGGGAGGCAGCAGUGGGGAAUCUUGCGCAAUGGGCGAAAGCCUGACGCAGCAACGCCGCGUGCGGGAAGAAGGCUUUCGGGCUGUAAACCGCUUUCAGCAGGAACGAAAAUGACGGUACCUGCAGAAGAAGGAGCGGCCAACUAUGUGCCAGCAGCCGCGGUGAUACAUAGGCUUCAAGCGUUGUCCGGAUUUAUUGGGCGUAAAGAGUUCGUAGGCGGUCGAGUAAGUCGGGUGUGAAAAUUCUGGGCUCAACCCAGAGACGCCACCCGAUACUGCUUAACUUGAGUUCGAUAGGGGAGUGGGGAAUUCCUAGUGUAGCGGUGAAAUGCGCAGAUAUUAGGAGGAACACCGGUGGCGAAGGCGCCACUCUGGAUCGAUACUGACGCUGAGGAACGAAAGCAUGGGUAGCAAACAGGAUUAGAUACCCUGGUAGUACCAUGCCGUAAACGGUGGGCACUAGGUGUGGGAAUUCUAUUAACGAAUUCCGCGCCGUCGCUAACGCAUUACGUGCCCCGCCUGGGGAAGUACGGUCGCAAGACUAAAACUCAAAUGAAUUGAACGG
rnacentral:rRNA from 1 species